AUGAUGGUACCCGACCUUCGCGAGGACCUUAUCAAGGCGCUCCAAGCCCCGGAACUCUACGUGGUGUCCAUGGCGAAACACCAUCUUUGCUCCAGCCCCUUGUUCAUGAACAAGAUCACGUUCGAUGAAGAGGACAAGCUCAUAGAUGAUGGUGGCCACAACCGGCCACUGUAUGUGGAAGGUAAUAUUGGUGUUGCACAUCUUCGCAGGAUCCUCAUAGACCCAGGGUCUGCCGUGAACAUUCUCCCUCUUCGGAGUUUGACACGGGCAGGUUUUACGGUGGACGACUUGGAGGCUACUGACGUGCUGCGGCUUCGACAACCAAGGGAAGCCUAUGCUAGGUGCCAUUACAUUGAAGAUCCAGAUGUCAACUUUUAG
rnacentral:rRNA from 1 species